AAAGUACUCCCUCCGUCCCAAAAUUCUUGUCUUAGAUUUGUCUAGAUAUAGAUGUAUCAAGUCACAUUUUAGUAUUAGAUACAUCCGUAUCUAGACAAAUCUAAGACAAGAAAUUUGGGACAGAGGGAGUAGUUG
rfam:Triticum aestivum genome assembly, contig: Triticum_aestivum_CS42_TGACv1_scaffold_307287_4AS